GACGAACCGUGCGAACGUUGUUCGGAUUCACUGGGCUUAAAGGGCUCGUAGGCGGCCAACUAAGUCAGACGUGAAAUCCCUCGGCUUAACCGGGGAACUGCGUCUGAUACUGGAUGGCUUGAGUUUGGGAGAGGGAUGCGGAAUUCCAGGUGUAGCGGUGAAAUGCGUAGAUAUCUGGAGGAACACCGGUGGCGAAGGCGGCAUCCUGGACCAACACUGACGCUGAGUGAGCGAAAGCCAGGGGAGCAAACGGG
rnacentral:rRNA from 1 species